CCUCCGCUCCACUCCGCGCGCCCGCGCCACUCAAUGGAGCCGCUGCGCGGUUGGCGCCUGACUGCGCAUGCUCUGGCUAUGCCGCCCGCCCAGAUCCUCGGCCGCAGGUUGAGCAAGCCAGGGGGAAGGCUCGCGUUCGGGCAGCGCAGCGAGAAACUCUAGGGCCGCUUCGGGGACGAAGCGCGGAAUGCGGCCCCCGAGAUCGGACACAGUUACCGACCGAAUGAGGACAGGGCAUCGGCGUCAGCAGGCUGAGCAGACCGCGCUCCCGAGCGGCGUCACUGGAAAAGCCUCAAAAUGGCGACGGUGGCAGGGAGCCCGCCCGCUCGCCGCCACCGUCCCCCCACCCCCCCGGCUCUCUCCUUCCCGCUUUCGGGCGGCAAAUGACGGACCAGUGGUGAGAUGCUGCCUGACUUGCUGAGUUCUUCCAACAUUUUGUGGUGUGUUGACUGUUAUACUGAUUCACUGAAGGCAAUACUGGCUUCCAACACUCCAGUGAGAUGGCUCCUAGUCUCAUCGUGGACAUUGAUUGUUAGAAGAUAGUGUUGUACAGAAGACCAGGUUGGUAGUCUUUCUGACAUUUAGUGUAAGGCAUAUUCUCUUGUAUGCUUCUGCAAAGGAAUUGACAACUACUUGACGCUUAGCCUGUGAACAUACAAAUACAUAAAAAUUGAAAUCCAAAAUGUAGCUCAGUAGUUGAAGUUGAGGUGACCUUGGCACUGGAAUAGAAGUUGUGCAGCUUAAUCAGUUUACCAUUUUUCCUGUGGAUUAAUCUCAAUCCAUUGGAAAGCUUAUUGCAGGUGAGGUGUAGCAUUGUAUCAACAAACACUACAAGAAGUUUUGGGAUGAUGAGGCAACCUUUAAUGAUACUGGUGUACCCUGUGAUUGGGUCUAUGAUGCUUAAAGUAAUGGCAUGGAUGUGAUCAAGAAACAGAUAUGAAAUAGAGAAUUUUUGUAGACGACAAAAUUUGAGAAGAAUGGUCCAUCUUGAUUGAAGAAGCAAAUAUAUGAGUAACAUGAGAGUGUAGAGGUUAACGUAAUGCUUUAUAGCACCAGCCAUCAGGGUUCAAUUCCCACUGCUUUUUGUAAGCAAUUCUCCCCUUGACCGUGUGGGUUUCCUCCAGGUGCUCCAGUUUCCUGUCACGUGGUUAGGGUUAGUGUGUUGGCACUUGCAGGCUGCCCUCUGCAUAAUCUUUGGACUGUGUUUGUCGUUGAUGUGAACAGCACAUUUCACUGUAUGUUUCAAUGUACAUGUGACAAAUAAAGCUAAUCUUCUAAGUACUUGAAAAGUGAUAAAAGGCCAAAUAUAGUGCUUCUUGCUGAUUCUUGCAUUCCUCUUGGAGUUGAUGCAUUGUGAAUAUCAUGUCCACUGGAUGGACAGAAUCCACUCUACAACUUGGGAGCAGCUCUGUGGCUGUGUGGAGUAGAUGGUCGAGUAGGGUCCUGCUGAUAUUUUUCACUGUGGCCAGGAAGGCCAUUCUGGUCAUUUCCUUUCUUGAAGAUGGUCAAGAUUAUGAUGUGGCUGCUAUUGAAUGUUGGCACUGAGGUCUAGCACUUGGUAUUAGCAACGUGAGUUGAUGCAGACACUGGUGCCAGCAGUAAUGGUUGUUGUUGGGGCCAAUUCCUGAACAUUGACUCAACCCCUGGAGGCCCAGACCUAGCAUUGAGGGGGCAUUGUAGCAUAGUGGUUAGCACACUGCUUUACAGCACCAUUGAUCACUGAUUGGGGUUCAAUUCAUGCCACUGCCUGAGUUUGUAUGUUCCCCCUGUGACCCCUCGUGGGUUUUCUCUGGGUGCUCCUGUUUCCUCUCACAUUCCAAAGAUGUAUGGUUAGUGAGUUCUGGGCAUGCUACGUUGAUAAUGGAAGCGUGGCAACACUUGUGGCCUGCCCAGCACAAUCCUCACUGAUUUGAUUUGACACAAACGAUGCAUUUCACUGCAUAUUUUGAAGUGCUAACCCUUAACUGAUAGUACAGAAGACUGGUAAGCCUGCAGAGUGACUAUUGAUACCAAGUAGUGCUGCUCAGUAGAAUGGCAUGAAUCACUAACAGAGGCACUGUGCAUUUGUUGGUGCUUAUUAAUGCAACUACACAUGAUACUGGAAGAUUACUUGUACCUAGAAUGGGUUAUCCAGGCUCUUCCAAUCCCUCUCAGAAACUUAACAUGCCACUUUGACAUCACUUCUCUUUUUAACACGAAUGGGUAUAAGACAUUCAUUUCUCACCAAGUAUAACUGAAGAUUCCCAUUCAUUUGUGCUCUAGAGCCCUAACCGUAAUUGUUGCUGUGCCUGAGUGUUUGUCUUUAGCAUUUCAUGCACCAGGUUCCUACUGCAUACCAACAUUUACUAGCUUCUUAUAAUUUAAAAAAUUAUUCUGCUUCUCUUCUCUACCCAUCAGAGUAGAUAAACUCUAGACAUGAGAGACCGCAAAUGCUGGAAUCCUGAUGCAGGGUCUCUACCCAAAACAUCAGUUAUCCUUUUCCUUCUGCAGGUAAUGCUUGAUCUGCUGAGUUUCUCCAGGAGUUUGUUCCGUGCUCCAAAAUUAAUAUCUUCUUUUUCCCACAUUAUAUGUCUAUCACUAUCUUGAUCACAUGCUUAACUAUUCAACAUCUUUUUGCGGCCACUGUGCAGGAUCUUCACACUCCACGUUCCUGGUCAGAUUAAUGUCAUCAGAAGAGUAGAAUAGUCUAAACGGUGGCCUUCAAAUUCACUUGCAUGGCACAACAUAUGUGUAUGCUGCAUUUUACUAUAACAUCAUUGUUAAAUACAAUUUUACGUGCCAGCAGACCUAAGAUUUUGUGCAUAAUAAAGUUUCAUUGGUGAGAUACCUCAAUUUAUAAGAUGAUGAACUCCCUGCAUGCUAUAACUUUAAUUUGCUUUUUUAGACUCCACAAUUUCUAUCCAUCCCUUUGUAUCUAAGUUGAAUUAUAUGAAUAGUUAGUACCUAAUAUCAAGUUUUAACCCAUUAUACUCUCAUAACUGUUAAAUAUCUAUUUUUGUAUUGUUUUCAGUCCUUCAACCAUUCCUUCAUUCAUUCUGACAUAUUAGUCCCAAACCCUAUUUUAUGGUUUAAUCUUUUGAGUGGUACCCUAUCAAAUCCCAUUUUAAAAAUUUCAAUAAUUACAUUGUGGGUUUCCUCAACCCCCCCCCCCCCACAAAUCACUGCACCUUCGUUGCCAGAUGAGUCUUGAAAAACACUGAGUUCAUCAAGCACAAUUUCACUUUAAGAAAGGUUUGUUGACUUCGUAAUAAUUUUCUAACUGUCCUUAACAAUGGGUUUUACCAUUUGGUGUAGUUCCUCACUUUUGCCUCUUGCUCCUUUCUUGAAUUGUGGUGUUGGAUUUGUUGCCUUCUAAUUUGAUAUUUCUGUUCCAGAAUCUAAUAAAUUUUUGAAGAUUAUUGGUAACUAAUGCAUUAUUUCAUCGGCCAUCACUCAUUGAACUAGUAUCCGGAGGCCUGGACUGUCCAUCCAUAACCAAGAGUUUGCAUUCCACUAUGACGAAUGGGGAAAUUAAAUUCUAGUGGUUAUUUCUGGAAUAAAAAUCAGGUUUGCAUCAAUGGUGACUUUAAGAUGAUUGGAUCAUUGUAAAAUAAAACUCUGAAAAUAUGCUGUCUUUCAGCUGUGUGACUCCUGUCUCUCCAAUUGCCUUCCAGUUCUUGAUGUAAAAUGCAUAUCAGCUGCAUCUGUGACAUCCAUGUACCUGGAGGGUGCAGGUUUUGGAUCCAGGGGAUGUCAGCCUUUGGUAUCACAUCAACAACAACAAAUUUCACAUCAUAUAUGUUAAUCAUAAUAAACCAGAUUCUGACCCCAAACUGGCUGUGAUAUUUCUGUAACUUUUGUUUUGUUUCCUAUCGUGAAGACUGAUAAAAUAUUAAUUUUAAUGUCUCAGCUUUUCUAUGUUUAAAUUACUUCAUUUUUAGCUCCAGAGAACAAUUGUUUCUUUUUGAUAUUCUUUUAAUAAACAUCUCCUCCACAAUCUCCAUCAGCACAGGUGCACGACAGGGUGGUGCUUAGCCACCUGCUCUCCUUUCUUUACAUCUAUGACUACGUGGCUAAGUACAGCUCCAAUACCAUACUCGAGUUUGCUGAUGACACCACUGUUGUGGGCCAUUUCAGAGGUGGUGAGGAGCAGCAUACAGGAGGGAGAAUGAAAUGAAAUUUUGUCUGGUGUCAUGACAACAACCUCCCACUCAAUGUCAGCAAAGCCAGGAACUGAUUGUAGACUUCAGGAAAGGGAAACUAGAGAUCCAUAAGCCAAUCCUCAUUGGAGCAUCAGAGGUGGAGAGGGUCAGUAACUUUUAAUUCCUGGGUUUUACUAUCUCAGAGGACUUGUCCUGGACCCAUCAUAGAAAUGUAAUUGCAAAGAAAGCAUGACAGUGCUUCUACUUUCUCAGGAGUCUGCGGAGAUUUGGCAUGUCAUCAAACUUCUAUAGUUGUAUAGUUGACUGGCUGCAUUACAGCCUGGUAUGGGAACACCAAUGCUUUUGUAUAGAAAAUCCUAUAAAACAUAGUUGAUUCGGUCCAGUACAUCACGAGUAAAACCCUCCCAGCAAUUGAGCACACCUACAUGAGACACUGUUAUAGGAAAGUAGCAUCCAUCAUCAAAGAUCCUUACCACCCAGGCCUUGCUCUUUUCUCACUGUUGCCAUCAGGCAGAAGGUACCAGUGCCUCAGGACUCGCACCACCAGGUUCAAGAAUAGUCACUACCCUUCAAAUGUCAGGCUGUUGAAUAAAAGAGGAUGACUACACUCAUCUGUUGAGAUGUUCCCACCUACCAAUGAACUCACUUUAAGGAUUCUUUAUCUUGUUAUUUCAUACUUUUGUUAUUAUUGCUAUUUAUGUUUGCAGUUGCACAGCUUGUUGUCUUAUAUGCUCUUGUUCUUUCAUUGAUCCUGUUUACAGUUACUAUUCUGUAGAUUUGUUGAAUAUACGCACAAGAAGAAGAAUCUUGAUUGUAUGUGGUGACCUGUAUGUACUCUGAUAAUUUUACUUUGAACUUUAUAUAGUUGUAGAAAUUGUCAAAUUAAAGAAUAUCUAUUUCUUUCUCA